rnacentral:rRNA from 1 species
GAGUUUGAUCCUGGCUCAGAGCGAACGCUGGCGGCAGGCUUAACACAUGCAAGUCGAGCGGGCGUAGCAAUACGUCAGCGGCAGACGGGUGAGUAACGCGUGGGAACGUACCUUUUGGUUCGGAACAACACAGGGAAACUUGUGCUAAUACCGGAUAAGCCCUUACGGGGAAAGAUUUAUCGCCGAAAGAUCGGCCCGCGUCUGAUUAGCUAGUUGGUGGGGUAACGGCCCACCAAGGCGACGAUCAGUAGCUGGUCUGAGAGGAUGAUCAGCCACAUUGGGACUGAGACACGGCCCAAACUCCUACGGGAGGCAGCAGUGGGGAAUAUUGGACAAUGGGGGCAACCCUGAUCCAGCCAUGCCGCGUGAGUGAUGAAGGCCCUAGGGUUGUAAAGCUCUUUUGUGCGGGAAGAUAAUGACGGUACCGCAAGAAUAAGCCCCGGCUAACUUCGUGCCAGCAGCCGCGGUAAUACGAAGGGGGCUAGCGUUGCUCGGAAUCACUGGGCGUAAAGGGUGCGUAGGCGGGUCUUUAAGUCAGGGGUGAAAUCCUGGAGCUCAACUCCAGAACUGCCUUUGAUACUGAGGAUCUUGAGUUCGGGAGAGGUGAGUGGAACUGCCAGUGUANAGGUGAAAAUUCGUAGAUAUUCNCAAGAACACCAGUGGCGAANGCGGCUCACUGGCCCGAUACUGACNCUGANGCACGA